rnacentral:tRNA from 1 species
GCAUUGGUGGUUCAGUGGUGGAAUUCUUCCCCUCCAUGUGGGAGAUCUGGGUUCAAUUCCCAGCCACUGCA